UUGACCUCGGAUCAGGUAGGAAUAGCCCACUAGUACUUAAGCAUAUCAAUAAGCGGAGGA
rnacentral:rRNA from 1 species